rnacentral:rRNA from 1 species
GAGUUUGAUCCUGGCUCAGGACGAACGCUGGCGGCGUGCUUAACACAUGCAAGUCGAACGGUGACCUCGGAGCUUGCUCCGGGUGAUCAGUGGCGAACGGGUGAGUAACACGUGAGCAACCUGCCCCCGACUCUGGGGAUAACCCCGGGAAAUCGGAGCUAAUACCGGAUACGAGACGCACAGGCAUCUGUUGCGUCUGGAAAGAAUUUCGGUCGGGGAUGGGCUCGCGGCCUAUCAGCUAGUUGGUGGGGUAGUGGCCUACCAAGGCGACGACGGGUAGCCGGCCUGAGAGGGCGACCGGCCACACUGGGACUGAGACACGGCCCAGACUCCUACGGGAGGCAGCAGUGGGGAAUAUUGCACAAUGGGCGCAAGCCUGAUGCAGCGACGCCGCGUGAGGGAUGACGGCCU